ACACCCCUGUGAAGAUCACAGAACCCAGAUAGUUCUCAUCCUCCAGGGACUGCUGGCGCAGCUCCAAGAAGACACAGCCAGACAGAGGAAUGACUGCUCAUGCUCCGGGGUCUUAGCAGAGCUAAGCAUAAGCCAUGGCACUGAUUCUCCUCAAUUUGUACUGGGAAGGAGCUCAGAGAAUGAGACUAGAAGCAUCUCCAGGGACAACAAUGAGAACUGACUUCACUUAUUACAAAAUGAUAUUCUGAAAAUUCA